GAGAGUCGAACUUGAAAGUACAGGGUCCUCUUCGGAGGAACCUGAUAGCGAGGGUAAGCAUACUCCCGAGAAAAUCCGCUAAGCAAUCCUAAAGGUACCCGUACCGUAAACGGACACACGUAGUCGGGUAGAACAUACUAAGGCGUUGAGAGAUUCAUGGUUAAGGAACUAGGCAAACUGACCCCGUAACUUCGGGAUAAGGGGUCCUCGUGAAAGCGAGGCGCAGAGAAUAGGUCCAGGCGACUGUUUAACAAAAACACAGGGCUGUGCGAACUCGAAAGAUGAAGUAUACGGCCUGACACCUGCCCGGUGCCGGAAGGUUAAGAGGAGAUGUCAACCUUUAUGGCGAAGCAUUGAAUUGAAGCCCCGGUAAACGGCGGCCGUAACAAUAACGGUCCUAAGGUAGCGAAAUUCCUUGUCGGGUAAGUUCCGACCUGCACGAAUGGUGUAAUGAUCCGGACGCUGUCUCAACCAUGAGCUCAGUGAAAUUGUAGUAUCGGUGAAGAUGCCGAUUACCCGCGAUGGGACGAAAAGACCCCGUGAACCUUUACUACAGCUUAGCAUUGACCUUGGUCAUCCGAUGUGUAGGAUAGGCCGGAGGCUUCGAAGCGGCGUCGCCAGGCGUCGUGGAGCCAUCCUUGAAUACGGCCCUUUGGCUGUCUGAGGUCUAACUCGCCAGUGCGAGGACACUGUUUGGUGGGUAGUUUGACUGGGGUGGUCGCCUCCAAAAGCGUAACGGAGGCUUCCAAAGGUGCCCUCGGGCCGAUUGGUAACCGGCCUUAUAGAGUGCAAUGGCAUAAGGGCGCUUGACUGGGAGGCAGACAUGCCGAGCAGGCAGGAAACUGGGGCAUAGUGAUCCGGCGGAUGUGUAUGGAAACUCCGUCGCUCAAAGGAUAAAAGGUACUCCGGGGAUAACAGGCUGAUCCCCCCCAAGAGCUCAUAUCGACGGGGUGGUUUGGCACCUCGAUGUCGGCUCGUCACACCCUGGGGCUGGAGAAGGUCCCAAGGGUUGGGCUGUUCGCCCAUUAAAGUGGCACGCGAGCUGGGUUCAGAACGUCGUGAGACAGUUCGGUCUCUAUCUAUCGUGGGCGCAGGAGUUUUGAGUGGUGCCGUCACUAGUACGAGAGGACCGUGAUGGACAGACCUCCGGUUUGCCAGUUGUGCCGCCAGGCGCACCGCUGGGUAUCCGAGUCUGGUUAGGAUAAGCGCUGAAAGCAUCUAAGUGCGAAGCCAUCCGCAAGAUGAGAACUCCAUUGAGGGUCGUUGUAGACGACGACGUAGAUAGGCUGCAGGUGUAAAGAU
rnacentral:rRNA from 1 species